UACGGGGGGGGCAAGCGUUGUUCGGAAUUACUGGGCGUAAAGGGUUUGUAGGUGGCCCGCUAAGUCACACGUGAAAUCCCUCAGCUUAACUGGGGAACUGCGUGUGAGACUGGCAGGCUCGAGGGCAGGAGAGGAACGCGGAAUUCCAGGUGUAGCGGUGAAAUGCGUAGAUAUCGGGAGGAACACCAGUGGCGAAGGCGGCCUUCUGGACCAAUACUGACGCUCAUGCACGAAAGCGUGGGGAGCAAACAGG
rnacentral:rRNA from 1 species